rnacentral:lncRNA from 1 species
AGAGCUGGCUUGCACCUAUGCUUCUCUCGUUCUCCUCAUGAGAAUGGAAUCAUCGUCAAGUCCUGAGAAGAAUGCAACUCUGAUCAAGGUUGCUUAUGCGACUAUUGACUCUUAAUGGCCAAGUUUGUUCCCCAAGCUCUUUGAUUCUGGAUGUUAGAUAUGGCGGUGCACUUGUGGGUUGUAGCAGUAGCUGCCUUUGCUGCUGCCGCUUGUGGUGAUGGUGAGAAUACUCCAGCUGCUACUGCUAAAGAGAAGAAGAAGGAACCCAAGGAAGAAAGUGAAGAUGAAAUGUGAUUUUGUUU